UUUCUAUAAAUAAAAUCUGUUCUACGUGUACUCAGUCCUCACUACAGCCUCCUUUCUACAGGUGUAGCACAUUAUUGUACGGUUAUGGACUCUUUUAUUUUGUGUUUACGGUCGUGUUUCAUUGUUUUGAUCUUUGGUUCCAAACUAUAGCCUGAGCAUCUUAGAGAGCAUGCCAAAGAAGGAACAAAUGCAAUUUCUUA
rnacentral:lncRNA from 1 species